UUAAUACAAGGACUAGAACAACAUACAUAAGAAAAGGGAGAAGUAUCAAAUAAGAAGGCUAUGCUAUAGAUUUGUGGCAAGAUGAUCUAUGAUAUGAUUUAUUCAACAUUCAACGUGAAUUCUGCUUUUCUCUGUUGCGGGGCCAAUUCAUGGAAAUCACUUGUCCUUGUAUAGUGUUGUAGCCUUGGGAAAAACCUAUGACUUUUUACUUUCUUGAGCCAUUUCUAUACAUGUACAUGCAUUUGAUGGCUGUUUUCUUUUGUUUCUCUGUGAUUUUUUUUUUCUCGGAGGAUUUAUAGGAUCGUUCGACCCCUGGGCUUUGCACAUUUAUACUUUGGCUUUCAGUUCUGACAAGUUGGGCCAGUGGUCCGGUGGGUCAGACCAUUAGUCUAUUGCAUGUGAUCAUGGAAGGAAUAUGAGUAAUGUAUUGAAUGCGAGGGACUAAUUUUCCAUUUGCGGACCACAGCUAUAGUAGCAGAUCAUUGUCAUGAGGAACUGACAUGUUGUGUGGGGGAAGCUAGUAGUAAAUCCAAAGCUGCAGAUAUUUUCGAUAGUGAGAUGUUUAAAUGGACAUAAAGAGCUUGCUCUCCUGAACUUUGUUCUUCACCCAUGAAAACACAGGUAUUGUUAUUUUCAGAGGAAUGUAAUGGUCCUUAUCUGAGACCAUAAAAUGUAUAAUAUGCUUUAUCUCUCAGUUUCUACAUGUGAGGCUCAUGGUUAAACUGCUUUAUUCUGGAAAAACUCAGGUAGGGUUUUGAAGUAAAGGAUGUAAUGUAAAACUCUGCUUAUGGUUUCUACUGCCUACAACUCCAUGUUGAAAUGUAUUUUAUUGCUUCACAUGGAAGGGUGUCCUGAAGUCGAUGUGUACUCUUUUCACCCAGAGAGAAACAUAACUCAAUGAAGUAUAUGAUACUCAGGUUGUGUAUGACGCUUGAUAAGCAUGCAUGCAGAAACUCAAAUAAAACCUUCUAAAUUGUGCAACCACUGUCGCGAAGUUGCAAUCCCAAGAUCAGAUUGGUUGAAAAUUCCAAACCUCUGAUUUGUGGACAUUUGCUUGUGGAAAUAAGACUGUUGGAUAUUUUUCAUUUUAACUAUCCAAUAAAUGUCCACCAACCCAAUAGUCAGAUAAUCAAAUAAGCUUGAUUUUUGGUCCAUGAUACAUCUACACUGGGUAGCAAAAUUUUUAUGGUUUAAUUUGACUAGUAUGCCAUGUGUGCAAUUUCUAAUUUCGAGUGCCUGUGUAUUACACUCAUCCGGAGUAUCAACGUUCGUCUCAAACUCAAUUAAGUUUUGCUGGCGGUUUCUUAAAUCCAACCCCAAUUAGCUAGGACAAGACCGUGCUGCUACUGAUGACAAUAAU